rnacentral:rRNA from 1 species
GACGAACGCUGGCGGCGUGCUUAACACAUGCAAGUCGAACGGAAAGGCCCUGCUUUUGUGGGGUGCUCGAGUGGCGAACGGGUGAGUAACACGUGAGUAACCUGCCCUUGACUUUGGGAUAACUUCAGGAAACUGGGGCUAAUACCGGAUAGGAGCUCCUGCUGCAUGGUGGGGGUUGGAAAGUUUCGGCGGUUGGGGAUGGACUCGCGGCUUAUCAGCUUGUUGGGGGGGUAGUGGCUUACCAAGGCUUUGACGGGUAGCCGGCCUGAGAGGGUGACCGGGGGCAUGGGGACUGAGAGACGGCGCAGAGGGCGACGGGAGGCAGCGGGGGGGAGGAUGGCACAAUGGGCGGAAGCGUGAGGCAGCAACGCCGCGUGCGGGAUGACGGCCUUCGGGGUGUAAACCGCUUGCGGCUGGGACGAAGCGUGAGUGACGGUAAUGGGUAAAGAAGCACCGGCUAACUACGUG